ACGGGUGAGUAACACGUGGGAACGUACCUUUUGGUUCGGAAUAACGCAGGGAAACUUGUGCUAAUACCGAAUGUGCCCUUCGGGGGAAAGAUUUAUCGCCAUUAGAGCGGCCCGCGUUAGAUUAGCUAGUUGGUGAGGUAAAGGCUCACCAAGGCUACGAUCUAUAGCUGGUCUGAGAGGAUGAUCAGCCACACUGGGACUGAGACACGGCCCAGACUCCUACGGGAGGCAGCAGUGGGGAAUCUUGCGCAAUGGGCGAAAGCCUGACGCAGCCAUGCCGCGUGAAUGAUGAAGGUCUUAGGAUUGUAAAAUUCUUUCAGUAGGGACGAUAAUGACGGUACCUACAGAAGAAGCCCCGGCUAACUUCGUGCCAGCAGCCGCGGUAAUACGAAGGGGGCUAGCGUUGCUCGGAAUUACUGGGCGUAAAGGGAGCGUAGGCGGGUUAUCAAGUUGGGGGUGAAAGCCCGGGGCUCAACCUCGGAAUUGCCUUCAAAACUGGUAGCCUAGAGUAUGAUAGAGGUAUGUGGAACUCCGAGUGUAGAGGUGAAAUUCGUAGA
rnacentral:rRNA from 6 species